rnacentral:rRNA from 1 species
UGGGGAAUAUUGCGCAAUGGGCGAAAGCCUGACGCAGCCAUGCCGCGUGUGUGAAGAAGGCCUUCGGGUUGUAAAGCACUUUCAGUGGGGAGGAAAGGCUCAGGGCUAAUACCCCUGGGAGUUGACGCUACCCACAGAAGAAGCACCGGCUAAUUCCGUGCCAGCAGCCGCGGUAAUACGGAAGGUGCAAGCGUUAAUCGGAAUUACUGGGCGUAAAGCGCGCGUAGGCGGCUUGGUAAGUCGGGUGUGAAAGCCCCGGGCUCAACCUGGGAACUGCACUCGAUACUGCCGGGCUGGAGUACGAGAGAGGGGGGUGGAAUUCCAGGUGUAGCGGUGAAAUGCGUAGAGAUCUGGAGGAACAUCGGUGGCGAAGGCGGCCCCCUGGUUCGAUACUGACGCUGAGGUGCGAAAGCGUGGGGAGCAAACAGG